rnacentral:rRNA from 1 species
UACAGAGGGGGCCAGCGUUAUUCGGAAUUAUUGGGCGUAAAGAGCUCGUAGGCGGCUCGUCGCGUCGUCCGUGAAAACCUGCGGCUCAACCUCAGAACUGCCUUCGAUACUGGCAAUCUCGAGUCCGGAAGAGGUUGGUGGAACAGCUAGUGUAGAGGUGAAAUUCGUAGAUAUUAGCUAGAACACCAGUGGCGAAGGCGGCCAACUGGUCCGGUACUGACGCUGAGGUGCGAAAGCGUGGGGAGCAAACAGG